GAGUUAGAUGAGAGAAGAGAGGUCAGCACUCCGCUUGACAAGGGUGGAAGAGGCCCCCCACCUGACAGCAUGCGUGUGGCCACCACCUUUGUGCCAUGUAACCAUCUUUU
ensembl:snRNA